UGACCAUGGCGGCGAGGCAACACCUGUUCCCAUCCCGAACACAGCAGUUAAGCUCGCCAGCGCCGACGAUACUUGGUGGGAAGCCGCCCGGGAAAAUAGGUCGUCGCCAGUU
rnacentral:rRNA from 1 species